rnacentral:rRNA from 1 species
AGAGUUUGAUCAUGGCUCAGGACGAACGCUGGCGGCGCGCCUAACACAUGCAAGUCGAACGGAGUUAUUUUCUUCACUCCGAGCUUUUUGCCAGUUAGCCGGAGCGGCAAUCGGUUUUGCCCAGCAUAAAAAGCAAAACCGAUUUAGGCUCAUAAAGUAAGACUAACACAGAGGGCAGAGAGUUGGGAGUGAAGAAAAUAACUUAGUGGCGAACGGGUGAGUAACGCGUGAGUAACCUGCCCUGGAGUGGGGGACAACAGUUGGAAACGACUGCUAAUACCGCAUAAGCCCACGGCCCGGCAUCGGGCUGAGGGAAAAGGAUUUAUUCGCUUCAGGAUGGACUCGCGUCCAAUUAGCUAGUUGGUGAGGUAACGGCCCACCAAGGCGACGAUUGGUAGCCGGACUGAGAGGUUGAACGGCCACAUUGGGACUGAGACACGGCCCAGACUCCUACGGGAGGCAGCAGUGGGGGAUAUUGCACAAUGGGGGAAACCCUGAUGCAGCGACGCCGCGUGGAGGAAGAAGGUUUUCGGAUUGUAAACUCCUGUCGUUAGGGACGAUAAUGACGGUACCUAACAAGAAAGCACCGGCUAACUACGUGCCAGCAGCCGCGGUAAAACGUAGGGUGCAAGCGUUGUCCGGAAUUACUGGGUGUAAAGGGAGCGCAGGCGGACCGGCAAGUUGGAAGUGAAAACUAUGGGCUCAACCCAUAAAUUGCUUUCAAAACUGCUGGCCUUGAGUAGUGCAGAGGUAGGUGGAAUUCCCGGUGUAGCGGUGGAAUGCGUAGAUAUCGGGAGGAACACCAGUGGCGAAGGCGACCUACUGGGCACCAACUGACGCUGAGGCUCGAAAGCAUGGGUAGCAAACAGGAUUAGAUACCCUGGUAGUCCAUGCCGUAAACGAUGAUUACUAGGUGUUGGAGGAUUG